AUUGAACGCUGGCGGCAGGCUUAACACAUGCAAGUCGAGCGGAGUGAUGGUGCUUGCACUAUCACUUAGCGGCGGACGGGUGAGUAAUGCUUAGGAAUCUGCCUAUUAGUGGGGGACAACAUCUCGAAAGGGAUGCUAAUACCGCAUACGUCCUACGGGAGAAAGCAGGGGAUCACUUGUGACCUUGCGCUAAUAGAUGAGCCUAAGUCGGAUUAGCUAGUUGGUGGGGUAAAGGCCUACCAAGGCGACGAUCUGUAGCGGGUCUGAGAGGAUGAUCCGCCACACUAGCACUGAGACACGGCCCAGACUCCUACGGGAGGCAGCAGUGGGGAAUAUUGGACAAUGGGGGGAACCCUGAUCCAGCCAUGCCGCGUGUGUGAAGAAGGCCUUAUGGUUGUAAAGCACUUUAAGCGAGGAGGAGGCUCUUUUGGUUAAUACCCAAGAUGAGUGGACGUUACUCGCAGAAUAAGCACCGGCUAACUCUGUGCCAGCAGCCGCAGUAA
rnacentral:rRNA from 1 species